CGGGUGAGUAACGCGUGGAUAACCUGCCUCAUACAGGGGGAUAACAGUUAGAAAUGACUGCUAAUACCGCAUAAGCGCACAGGACCGCAUGGUCCGGUGUGAAAAACUCCGGUGGUAUGGGAUGGAUCCGCGUCUGAUUAGCUGGUUGGUGAGGUGACGGCCCACCAAGGCGACGAUCAGUAGCCGACCUGAGAGGGUGGCCGGCCACAUUGGGACUGAGACACGGCCCAAACUCCUACGGGAGGCAGCAG
rnacentral:rRNA from 1 species